rnacentral:lncRNA from 1 species
CAAAGUUCAAGUGACUUUAGUCUAUCUAUCUUAAUUCUGUGAAAGUAAAAGUCAUAGUUCUUGAGAUUUUGUUCAUAGAUGCGUCUUGAAAAACCAAGGGGUCCUGAUAAAAAUAGUAUAAUCUUGACCUACAUUUCACAAAUAAGUGACUGAUUUAAAAGCUUGGCAAUGGACGAUUAAAGUCAUUCCAAUAUACUGAUUGUUGAAACAAUACUUUGCACUUUUUAACACCAAAAACCUCCAUAUUUCCGGCCCAAAAAUUUGGUGCUUGCACCAAUUAACUCUCUUGU